GUCUAUGGCCAUGCCAUCCUGAACAAGCCCAAAUCCUGUCUGAUCUCGGAAGCUAAGCAGGGUUGGGCCUGGUUUGUACUUGGAUGGGAGACCACCUAGGAAGACCAGGUGCUGUAGGCU
rnacentral:rRNA from 1 species